AUCAAGAUGGGAUAAAAUUUAAUGAAACUAUAUAAAAUAUUUAACUCUAUUCAGCCUAGGUUAAUUAAACGAAAAAAAAUUAAUGUCUUUAGCGAAAAGGUAUAAAUUAACGAAACAUUCAUUUUAGUGACUCGUAAAAUUGAAAGUUCAAAUAAAAAAAAAUCAGGCAACUGUCAGUUCAAUUAAAAAAAAAAAAAAAUGACAGUUUAGAUACUGAUUGAAGCAAGAAAUGUGUAGGAUUUACUGUGAUGUGAGUUUGUGUGUUUUUUUUUAUGUCUAUAUAAUUUAUUUACCGGAAAUCCUGUUCCAAUUAACAGAUCAAACUAGAUCAUUUUUACAAUACUAUUGAGAGAUCAUUUUUAAUUUCCUUUAUAGUUUUAUUAAUAAAUGGGAAAAACCGUCAAUGUGUUGUAUAAUUUUUGUUGAUUUCUUGGAUUAUCUAGGCAAUUACAGCCUACUAGGGAAAAAUAUUACUAAUAAUACUCUGAUCAGAAUUGUUUUUUUGUAUAAGCAAUAGUUCAUCGUUGUGUACAGGUUUACAUUUAAUUAUUUUAUGUAUUUUCCCUUCCACGUUCUCUCCUAAAACACACACGUCAGCAAUGUCAGACUUUUUCAUUA